AUAUUCUGUUGUGCCGAAUCAGCCGAGAAAGAAUGCUGCGUAUGGGCCAAGAAGCUCAUCUGUUUCAGACACCAGAGGUCCGGUGUCGAGAGCUAACAGCAGUCCCAAAAAGAGUGUAUGCAAGUAUUGGAAAGCUGGAAACUGCAAGAGGGGUGAGCAGUGCCAGUUCUUACACUGUUGGUCUUGUUUCCCUGGUUUGGCCAUGGUAGCUGCUCUUGAAGGACACAAGAAGGAUAUAAAGGGGAUCGCCCUCCCUGAGGGUUCAGAUAAACUCUUUUCAGUCAGUAGCGAUGGUACAUUGCGAAUUUGGGACUGCCAUACUGGUCAGUGUGUACAUACCAUCAAUCUCUAAUCAGUGAAGGCCCAUGGUUUUUCCUUGGCUUGCAAAAAACUGUAAAGGCUUUUAAUGUUCAAACCAGUAAAGAUUUGCAUCUUGACGGGGUGGUUGGUCAGGUGCAUGCAAUGACUGUUGCUAAAGGAAUGCUUUUUGCUAGAACAAGUUCUGGCAGCAUAUCAGUCUGGAAAGCUACAGACUCUGA